CUCCACAGGGACAUGUCCGUUCAGUUUUGUAGCAACCCCGUUAUUCUUAGUGUGCAGAUGAGUUCCAUUCUGAGUUAAUCUUUGAGGCAUUAAAAUAACACACAGUGGUAGACGAUAGCUCAUGCAUGUGAUUUUUUUUUUAUUUUUUUAUUUACCAUGGUUCUAGUAAUUCAGCUCCCUGACUGGGGACAGAUUUUGUAGGAGGUGCCCAGCAUGGUAUUCAGGGUCACAAUGGAUUUUACCACUAGCCGAGAUGCUUUAAAAUAGUUUUGCCUCUUGUGUAGAGAAAUUUUAUUAUAUAUUCUUUUUUAGUAUUUAUUGAAUGAAACAUGCCAGCAAUACCAUGAAAUACUUUGAAAAGAACUAACCAAUUGUUAGUCAUCCUGUGAAGGUACUGAAGGUGUGCUAAUUUUUACUCCAAGCAUAGGGAAAUCCUCGGCGUGACGAUCUGUGGCACAAUUUAAUCCAGUGUAGUCUAACUGAAGCUAAACUUGACAGUACUAUUUGUAGCUUAAACUACUUUGAGUUUCACUUUUCCCCCGUCAUAUACUGGUCUUUUAAGGAUUAUUGAACAUCAGCAACACUGCUAAUGCCAAUUUUAAAUGAUUGUUACAAUACAAUAUUCCCUCACUCCAGUUAGCAUUAUUACAGUGUGAGAAGUGAUGCAGAAAAGCACCCGUUUCUCCAAAAUAUUUCUAGGUACUGGUGCCAGAAUCCCAAAAUGCAGUAUGUGCAUGCACAUUUAAGCCUCUUUCCCCAGUAUUGGAUUCUCUUUUGGUCACUGACGUGAAGUGAUUUUGAAGUGACAUUGCAUGCCAAGCUGUGCAUUGCCAGCCUCACAUAUAGCAUAUAAUAUAAAAAUGUGUUUUUAUUUUAUUUUUCUUUACUACAAUCCGUUUCUGUUUCUGGUUAUCUGUUUGGUUUGCAUGCUCCCAGAUUUAAAAGCGCACACAAGGAGAUUAUACCUAUUGAAUUUCUAGCAAAUUCCAAAACCUUAACUUAUUUCUACAUAUACAUUUAUUUCUAUAGCUGCAUCUGCAUUGAGGCAAAAAGUGACCAACAUGGCCAUUGCAAUAAACGUCAUAUCUUAGUUACAGUCACAUUCAGUUGUGGAACCUUACACUUGACAUUUGGGAGACGGCAGACAAAUGUGCGGUGUAGUGACCAUGUUUGUUGCAAAACCACGGCAAAACAAAUCCAACUGGUAAAAAUUAAUCCAGACACCAUACUCCAGCAUCAUUGACAUAAUAAUGUCUUUAAAAAAAAACAAAUCUCCCAUCCAAACUCCGUCCCUGCCUCUAUCACAGACUUGGUAAGCACAAUAAUCACCUUUUUUUUAUAUUUAUCCAUUAAUUUCUCCAUUUUGCAGUCUAGAUGGUGAUAUUGUGCCUGAAGUGUUUUAAUUGUUACACUUCAAAUGUAUCUUGUAGCUUUGUAAUUUAAAAAAAUGUUACACACAUUGCCACUUCUGUUGCUUAUCCUUUUUCUCCCAUCUCUCUACAGAAAGAUUUAUAUUCUUGUAAAAUAAAUCCUGAUGAGCUAGUUUUCUGAUUUUUUUUUUUUUUUUUUGAUUUUUUUUUGUGGGUGGAAUAUUAACUUGUUUUGGUAAUAUGUAACUGUGAUCAUUCUGUAUAUAGGAAGGUAUUAUUAAUCAUUGCAACUAUCAGCACAAACUCACAGAAGAACUGACAGUAAUAAUACUACACAAUAACAAAUAUGCUGCGCAGCACAAUCUGAAAGAAAUGUAAAAAAUAAUAAAUACAUUUCUCUUAGCACUAAGAUUUACAAUAGGUCACAUGGUGCAAAAAUGUAAGUUUCCUCCCCUGGCAGUCCCUAGCAAGCUUGCCCCCUGGCAGUCCCAUCAAUAUUGCAUAAAUCUCACCUAAACCAAGAUACCAGUUGUUGAUGCGUGAUUGAUAGCUGACCAAAAUGGGAAGGCUUUACCAGUUUAUCUACUGGCAAGUCCUCUGACACCAAGUAAAAAAAAAAUUACAGCUAAAAUUCUUUUCUGCCCAUCAUAGGCAGUUUAAUAUAUGCUUUUAACAAUAUCUACCAAAUAGCACUAUAGUGUUCCUAUAAGUAGAUCUAAGAAUACAAACAUGUAUUCCUAAUACUGGUGCUGGAGUAAAUAUGUAGGUCCCCUGGUCUCUCCACGGCUGGCUCCACCUCCAUGGCUGAGAUCAACAAUAUUGAUGAUCUCUGCCAAUCCAAUGUUUUCCCAUAGGAAAGCCUUUGGAGUUAUUGUGCAUGUGCAGCAAAAUGCAUCUCUACAGGAGCAUUCCGCAUCUCCGUGCAAAGCCUGGAGACGCUGACCUAAAGAAGCAACUCCAGUGGCCAUCUGAGUGACUGCCUUUAGUUGUGUUACUAGGCAGCAAUGUAAACACUGCAUUUUUUUCUGAAAAUGCAGUGUUUAUUACAUGUCCUGGCAGAUUUUUCAAUGUAGACACCAGAAGCACUACAUAAAGUGUCUCUUUAAGGGUACAAUUAAUCUGCAUUUAAUUCCGAAUAUCUGAAACAGCAAGUGGGAAAUCUAUUUAAAUAUUUACAAAAUAUUUUAAAGGAAAUCAUGAAUUUAGGGAGAGGUGGUAAGAUAUUGCUAUGAAGGAUUUUUGGCUGGCGAAAAUCCGUACUAAAAUUAAUAAUGGGUUAGAAGGAAAUGGUUGAAGGAAACCGUUUUUUUUGUUGCAGUUUCAUUUAUACAUAUUAUUUUUCUUGGAAACCUGUGAAGUACUUUUUUUUUCCCCUAACUGACAAAUCUCAGUUAGAACUACAAAUGUUAACCUUUGUGAGUAUCUCAUGUAAAUGCUAAAUCUAUUUUUUUUUUUUUUUAUAGAUUUUAUUAUUUUUACUGUUGCUUUAAAAACUUGUGUAAAUUGUUUUAUUUUACUAUGCCCUCAGUGAUAUAGAUUAGUAAAUUGUGCAUUUUAUGAUGUGAUACAAAUAGAUGCAACGGUUGUGAUCUGGUUGACAUGUCUCUUUAAAUCUGUCUCACAUUCCAUUGAAGCACUUUGUAUUUCUCAUUCAUAAUUGCAAUGUUCACUUAGAGUGGGUUUCUUGUUAUCCCUUGGUGCUAGAAAUGAUUCCUCUUAUUAUGGCUGAUGGCGAGUAAUGUAUUAUUAUAUUCAUACUAGUGCAGACUACCAUUGCAUGAAAGUCUGUUAUCUGACAAUCUGAUCCAAGGUAAUGCAAAAUCUGGCACAACCGUGGAGCAUUAAAAAUAAAGAGGAAAAGACUGAUCUCAUGGUUCACUCAAAUAGACUAACUGGGCAUGUCCCAAAAGUGUCUCUACAAUAACAAAAAAAAUGUAAUCUCAAAACUGGAAAUGUUUGCUGGAGAAUACAACUCAAAUGUGUACAAUCUUUCUGAAUUAAAAUAAGUGUAAAUUAAAAAAAAAAUUUAUUCUACAUAAAGCUAUGUUUAUAGUCUAUUGCUCACCCAUGUAGUAAUCUGUUUUGAUGAUCUCUUGCUUAACCCCUUAAGGACCAAACUUCUGGAAUAAAAGGGAAUCAUGACAUGUCACACAUGUCAUGUGUCCUUAAGGGGUCAAUGGAACAUUCUGACUAACUUAACUGGUUUAUAUUGAGCCAAGUGGCAAUGAAAGGUUUGUACUACUGCCAAGUCCAAAUGACGGUCGCUCUGUUAUGGGUUAAAACUGGAAUUUCUUGUGAUCAAAUGACAUAUUGUAUUGAGAACCUUCAAAAUAUUCUAUUUGUGAGGUAUCCUAUUGUGUCAUUAAUAUUGUAGAUAUUUACAAAUCCAAAAUAUAAACCAAUGAACAAUAAAUGCAGCUAUAUUUCAUGGACAAGGUAAAGCGGUUUCAAAUCUUGCAGAGUUUUUUUUGUUUUGUCUUUUUUUGUGUCCCAUUUUUAUUUAUGUAGCAUUUCCUUCUCAUCUUACCUCACGUGACUCUUACCUUACAGGUGGUUGCAUGGCUGGUUUUAUUAUACAGACCGGUUAUUCUCUGAAGUGAGAAUUGCAGGGAAUUCAAAGUGAAUUUUAAAAAUUGAGACAAAUAGUCACAUUGGAAAAAUUCUCCAAGACAAUUUGGUUUGGCUAUUUUGGCCUUAAAUUUAAAUUUUGCUUUGAAUUCCCCUUAAAUUCCUAGAAACUCUUGCUUUAGUAAAUAACCAUUCUAGUGUGGAUCAUGGAAUGUGUUGUAAAUAAAAGUAUCUAAAAUUGUUUAGCAAAUAAAACAUUCUAUCCAUUU